CCAAACAUAACUCCUCCUUCCCCGCCGUCUUUUAUGCCAACGCAUCCUACCCUCCUCUUGAAACAGGCCCGCACGAAUCCUUCCUCCCUCGCAUGUCCGUCACCGCCGCCGCCAGCACCGGCCACCACGCCCCAAGCACGGGACAGAUCUAGGAAUCAGGAGGGGAUGGACGGAGUAUGGCGAACAGGCCGACGGGGAUGUGCUCUCUCCUCCCGCUACCAAGGCCCGUGGGCGGGGCGCCCGACCUCUAGACGACGGUGGCGAUAACCAAGGACGGAUGUGCAUCCUGGCAUCUCAACUCAAGAUGAUCAAGUGAGGUCUGCAUAGGGUGGUGGCUGGCGGGUUGGACGCGCUGAACUUCGGCGGCGGCCGGAUCCAGGCGAGCGGCGACGAGACCUUGCAAGGCGUCGGGGUUCUCCGGGGCGGCACCAUGGUUGCUCCAGCGUGCUCCUGUAAGAAAAGGAGGGAGGACGAGGGAGAGGGAGAGAGAAAACCGGGAGGAAGGAGAGAAACGAGGGGAGGCACGACAGGGAGCUGUGCUGCUAGUUUCUCCGGUGAAGAGCAGAUAGGGCACGGACGUUCGCGGGAGUGGGCGGCGUUUGGCGACGGAGGCGCUGGUCGGGGAGCGCGUGGUGCGAGCUCCUAGGGGGAGAUGGACGAGGACGAGGACGGUCUGGUGCGCUGCUGGUGCGGGGAGGGCAUGGGAGAGGGACGAUUGCUUUGUAUGUUGUGCGCUGCUGGUGUGCUCCUCAGCUGCUAAUCUCAUGUGGAGGACGCGGAGGGGCAGGCGGCGAGCGAAUUGAAUCUGGGAAUUCACCCAGGGAAGCAACAUAUAAUCUUCUGAUCUUUGUCUUGCCUCCAGUGCAAGUUCAGUUUGUCCAGCAGUGCUCUUGACAAAUUUCUAGAAUGAAGAAUGAAAUACUUGGAGAUAGGCUACCAAUUCGGUAAGAAUAUAUAUGUCAUGGAUCUGUUUAUAACUAUUUUACUGUGCUUACAUUUGGUCAGCAGGUUUUAGGCUGUACUGCAGCCUAAAUGUGAUCCUGCUUGUUGUUGCUAUGCAUUUUAUAUUUCCUGAUAUACUAUGAUUUCCCCGUUUUUAACCAGUUUGGGGCGUAUAAGAAGAGAAAGUGAAUAACUGAAUGCAAUGGCAGGUGUUGAACUGAGGUUUACACACAUUGGUGCACAUGAUGUGUCAAUCAAACAUACUAUAGCCCUCAUAUAAUGGUUGUUGCUGUUUGCAAAGUAAGAAUUGAAUGAUGCAAAGAGAUUUAUGCUGUAGAAGAACUUCCAAGGUAGUCUCCGAAGCCCUUUCAUUGGAAUUUGACAAAAUUCCCAACCACAUAGGUCACACACAAUUUAAGCCUCCAUGGUACUAAAAAUGCCAUGUCUGUCGGUCCUUUGUUUAGAAAUGUUUUAGUCACAUAUUCUUAUGUAAUUACCGUAUGACAAAAAUAGCACUUCAGGCCCUUAUUAACCGUGUUUCUCCUUUGUUUUGGUCUUCUCUUAAUUUGUUUGUUUGCUUAAGGAUGCCCCUAAUUUUCUAUAAGAUUACAAUGGCUCAAAUAGCAUGUAGAUUUAAUAAACUGAAUAAUUGAUUGUUGGUGUUGUUUCUAGCGUAUCACAUAUAGUAGCAGAGACUCAGCAUGGGGGACUGCCGCUUGAAGAGAUGCAAAUGUUGCAACUUCACCAGAGGUUCUAUGUUGGAGUUCUGUGUGUCAGUGGUUCAAGUUCACAAGGAUUGGCACCAUGGACUGGAGAAUCGUCGCAACCAUCAUGGACACACCAGGGGCAGGGGCUGCAUGCAGCCAAGUCCGAGGCGACUGCCAAGAAGACUGGGCUCGAUGUAGUGACCGAGGAGGCGCAUGCCGCAGGAGAAGCCGAUUAUUCUGUUUGCACGACGGGUAUCCAAAAUUCUAAUUCAGAUAUUAGUGAUGAUAUAACAAUGUCGUCUGCCAAAUUGUGAUUCGGGCGAGCCUAGCUUAGCUGGGAGCCACCGAAGAUUGUGUGGUGCACGGGAGAUAGAGACUCCACCGGAUAUUUUGUCGUGUCCACUAACAACAACGACAUGGAUAGUGAGCUCACUGCUGGACAUGAUUGCCCUAUUUAUAAUCUGUUGGGUAGUCCUAUUUGGUGGAUUGUAUCUAUAGCAUGUUGAAAGCAAAUGUAACCUCAUUGAUUUUCACAUUACUCUUCAGUAUAUCUGAUCUUUCUCUACAAGGAGCCUACAGUUUGUAAUGUUGUAUUUCUUUUGUGAGACCUCCACGAGCUGUCUAUGAACCAUAUAUGCAGUAGACGUUCCCAUAUGUAUUUAUUCGAUUUCGAAAGGAAUGUUAAAAUUCUUAUGCUCAACUAUAAUUUAAAAUUUCCAGUCCUU